rnacentral:rRNA from 1 species
UGGGGAAUAUUGCACAAUGGAGGGAACUCUGAUGCAGCGACGCCGCGUGAACGAAGAAGGCUUUCGAGUCGUAAAGUUCUUUUAUAUGGGAAGAUAAUGACGGUACCAUAAGAAAAAGCCCCGGCUAACUACGUGCCAGCAGCCGCGGUAAUACGUAGGGGGCAAGCGUUGUCCGGAAUCACUGGGCGUAAAGGGUUCGCAGGCGGAAAUGCAAGUCAGGUGUAAAAGGCAGUAGCUUAACUACUGUAAGCAUUUGAAACUGCAUAUCUUGAGAAGAGUAGAGGUAAGUGGAAUUUUUAGUGUAGCGGUGAAAUGCGUAGAUAUUAAAAAGAAUACCGGUGGCGAAGGCGGCUUACUGGGCUCAUUCUGACGCUGAGGAACGAAAGCGUGGGUAGCAAACAGG